GACCUCAGUUCAGGUGAGAUUACCGGCUGAAUUUAAGCAUAUUACUAAGCCGAGGAAAAGAAACUAACAAGGAUUCCCCUAGUAGCAGCGAGCGAACAGGGAAGAGCCCAGCGCUGAAUCCCCCGGGCCUCGCUCGGCGGGAAAUGUAGCGUUUGGGAGGGCCCGUCAACACGGCGACUCGCUCACUGGUUCAAGUCCAACUUGAAUGGGGCCACACAGAGGGUGACAGGCCCGUAGAGCAGGAGCGGUUGUCGUGUGGGUCUCUCCUUAGAGUCGGUUUGCUUGAGAGUGCAGACUUAAGUGGGUGGUAAACUCCAUCUAAGGCUAAAUAUGACCACGAGACCGAUAGCACACAAGUACCGUGAGGGAAAGGUGAAAAGAACUUUGAAGAGAGAGUUCAAGAGUACGUGAAACUGAAGUGGUGUAAACGGACGAGUUCGAAAAGUCCGAAUGGUGAGAUUCAAGCUUACCGUGCCGGUGGCCCUCGGGUUCAGAUGGCGUCGUCAGCUCGGGCUUCGGUUCGGGUCAUACGGCGUCACUCGUCCUGGGGGUAUCUGUCUGGUGCGGUGGGCUGCACUUCUCGCCUAGUAGGACGUCGCGACCCGUUGGGAUGUUCCGUUCACUGGCCCCUGGUGGAGCCCGCGCCGGAGCGUGGCCUUGUGCCGCGUUGCUGUUUGCACGGACCCGGGGUGACCUGAUCGGCGCCCGACGGUAUCAAAGCUUGGGAAGAGGCCGCACAGAGGAUGCGUUCGAUGGCCGUUUCGGCCUACACUCGGACAGGCCUGCACCCGGUCAGCGGCGCUUCUGCUUUCGAUAC
rnacentral:rRNA from 1 species